rnacentral:rRNA from 1 species
GUAACUCUGACCCUCUUAAGGUAGCCAAAUGCCUUGCCGGGUAAGUUCCGGCGCGCAUGAAUGGAUCAACGUGGUCCCCACUGUCCCAGCCUGGGGCCCCGUGAACGCCCAGAGUGGGUUCACAGUCCCGCAACUCCCCACACCGAGAGAAGACCCCGUGGAGCUUCACCGCAGCCUGGCGUUGUCCUGCGGGCGCUUAUGCGUAGAGUAGGUGGGAGGGGUCGAGCCCAUCCUUUCGGGGAUGGGGGACCCGGAAGUGAAACACCACCCAUAAGCGCUCGCGGGACUAACCUACCCGAAAGGGUGGGAACAGCGUCAGGUGGGCGGUUCGGCUGGGGCGGCACUCCCGCGAAAAAGUAACACGGGAGCCCAAAGGUCAGCUCAGGCGGUACAGAACGCCGCCGUAGAGUGCAAGGGCAAAAGCUGGCCUGACGAGACCCUUCAAAGUACGGGGUCUCGACGCGAAAGCGCGGCCUAGCGA